CAGAGGGGACAAUCAGAGGGGUAUAGGAAUAUAAAAUGAGUAAGGACAUGGUCUGUAAAACACUACAGGUACUUCCAUUAGACAGAGCCAUCCUUCACAAUGGACUAUACACUUUUCACAGCAGCCAUUGUGUUUCUAACAUCAGGUCUGUGUGUAGGUCAGAAUGUGUUACCACCAGGACCAUUGACUGGAGCCAUAGGAGGGAGAGUGAAGUUCACCACAACCCUCAGUCCACCAGCCAAACAUUUUGUCUCAGUGAGCUGGACCUUCAACAGGGUCAACAUCAUCACCUCCACUACGGCCAACAUAACUAAUGCUGACUACAAAGACCGGAUCAGUCUGGACAGAACCACUGGCUCUCUGGAGCUGUGGAACCUGGGCCUGAGGGACCAAGGGGAAUACAGAGUCAGCAUCAUACCAGACGGGGCUCUGGAGCUACAAGGAUCUACCACUCUGGAUGUCUAUGUGUUGCUAUCUGCUGCCACCAUCACCAGUCCCCCAGCCACCCUGAUAGCUGGCAUAAGCUCCACCAACCUGACUUGUGAGGCUGCUGGCAACAUCAGCUCCAUACAGUGGAUCAAAGAUGGCCUCCCUCUGUCUCCCAGCAACAAUAUCACCUUAUCUGCAGACAACAGGACAGUCUAUCUCAGUCCUGUUCAGGACAUUGACAACGGAGAAUAUGAGUGUUUAGUCAGCAACCCUGUCAGCAACCGGACAGCAUCCCACAACCUGACCGUCAACUUUGGACCCCAAAACAUUUCAAUAUAUGGACCAUCAGCAGCAUCAACAGGAUACAGGGUAACUCUGAGCUGUUCGGCUGACUCUAUCCCUCCUGCUACAUUCACCUGGAUGUUCAACAGGACAGAGACAGGUGUUAACAACACCCUGUACGUCAUAGAGAGGAUGGAGGCGCUACACAUUGGGAACUACACCUGCACUGCCACCAAUAACAUCACGGGACUGAAAGACUCUGUUGUCUACAAGCUGAGAGGCUCCUCUGCUGCCCCCAUUUGGUAAUUUGCUUUGAUGGUGACCAGUGUCAUGGCAGCAGGACUGCUGAAACUGUAGAUGUCUGAAAGGAGAGACAGGGACAAGAAGAGGCUGGUGAAGGAUUUGUCAACCCCAGAGCCUUCUUGCUGAUGAAGGACAAUCUUGAUAUGGACUCUUCUGGGCUAGAGGAUAUUGUAUAGAAUCAAACCCGUCUGUAGUUUUAAUAUGUAGCGAUGUACUUUAGCCUGUCAAACUGUAAUAUUAUCUGGGCUUUAUUAAAAUAUUAUGUUUUAUAUAUAAAUAAUUUUAUAUAAAACAUAAUAUUUUAAUAAAGCCCAGAUAAUACUGUGUGUUCAAACAUAAUAUUUUAUAUAUACAUAUAUAAUCAAAGUAUAUAUAAAUUAAUCAAAGUAAUCCAUGGUACAUGUCAUGAAAUAUUCAUGUACACUGAGCAAAAUUAUAAAUGCAACAUGUAACAUGUUGGUCUCAUGUUACAUGAGCGGAAAUAAAACAUCCCAGGAAUUUACCAUAUGCACGAAAAGCUUUUUUUCUCCCAAAAAAUUGCAUCCACCUGGCAGCUGUGGUAUAUCAAGAAGCUGAUUAAACAGCAUGAUUAUUACAAAUCAAAUCAAACUUUGUCACAUGCGCCAAAUACAACAUGUACAACAGGUACAAAAACAACCUUUUCAUGAAAUGAUUACUUACAAGCCCUUAAGACUUCUUAUGACUUAGAUCCCAAUAACGGGAUUGAUAUGACAACAGUCAGUGAAAGUACAGGGCGCCAAAUUCAAAACAAUGUCAUA